rnacentral:rRNA from 1 species
CUCCUACGGGAGGCAGCAGUGGGGAAUAUUGCGCAAUGGGCGAAAGCCUGACGCAGCGACGCCGCGUGAGGGAUGAAUGCCUUCGGGUUGCAAACCUCUUUCAGCAGGGACGAAGCGCAAGUGACGGUACCUGCAGAGAAGCGCCGGCUAACUACGUGCCAGCAGCCGCGGUAAUAC